GGGGCGUGUCCGACUUCCGGCGAGUACGGACGCAUGGCUUGAGAGCUCCGCCGAAAAUCUAGCCUGACAGCGACAACAGAAGCAAAAACUGCACAUUUGCCCACCCAUCCGCGCUCCUAAGGUAUUACCCAACGACUAUGUCACCACCCAAACAGCUGAAGAUCAUGGACGCGGUGAAAACCCGGAAAAAAGACCGGAGAAAAGACAAACAAGAUGGCGGCGACACACCUGGCUUGUCGGACGACCAGUCAGAUGCUGAAUCAAUCUCCUCCAAACUAUCGGACUCAAUGAUCACAGAACGAAGUCUGCAUAGAAUGCUACAAGACCUCCGCUCUACCAUUAGGAAGGAUUUCCUACAAAUUGACAGUGAACUGAGGAAGGAAAUCACAACACUGGGCGAAAGAACCAGCCAUCUUGAAAACAAAUCCGACGAGCUGUGUGUAGCUCACAACGAAGUUGUUGAUAAACUUCAGAAACUCUCAGAAGACAACAAUAUGCUUCAAUUAAAAUUAGCAGAUCUAGAGGAUAGAUCCAGAAGGCAGAACGUAAGAUUCAGGGGUAUACCGGACGAUAUAUCCCACGAUGCUCUUCCUGCUUAUAUACUAUCUAUUUGUAAAAUCUUAGUUCCAGACUUACCAUACUCUGCAUGGACUUUUGACCGCAUGCACAGACUUCCACGCCCGGCACGUAUGGCACAAGAUGUCCCUAAAGACACUAUUGUGAAGUUUCACUACUUUGCACACAAGAACACUCUGCUCAACGCAGCAAGAAAGGCAGGCACUCUACCUGACCCCUUUCGAAAUAUAUUCUUAUUUGCUGAUCUAUCAGCUUCCACUAUGGCACGUAGAAAAGAAUUUAUAACUAUCACCAAAACCCUACGCAAUAAUAAUAUCUCCUACAAGUGGGGUUACCCAACAAAACUCCUGGUCUGGAGACAAGGCAGAACACUGGUUAUAACCGAACCAACCGAAGGCAUGAAGAUAAUCACCUCCUGGGGGCUUUGGAAUGCAACCACGACGACUUCACAUGCCGCACAAGCAACAGACCUCUCCCCGAA